rnacentral:rRNA from 1 species
CAGUAGCGUAUAUUAAAGUUGUUGCAGUUAAAAUGCUCGUAGUUGAAGUUCGGAUGCAGCAGAGCUUGGAAACGCUGUUAUGGUGCUUCCGUUGCUUUUGCUUGUCCACAGUGCGUCGCAAGUACGUAUGUGCUUGUGCGUGCAUUUUACUUUGAGAAACAUAGGGUGUUCCACGCAUGUUACGGCAUGAAUAUUCCAGCAUGGGAUAAUCUGGUACGACUUCCAAUCUGCCAUUUUGGUUCGUAGGUUGGAAGUAAUGAUUAAUAGGGACUGUCGGGGGCAUUGGUAUUUGACUGUCAGAGGUGAAAUUCUUAGAUUCGUUGAGGACCAACCACUGCGAAAGCAUUUGUCAAGGAUGUCUCCAUUAA